UACGAGGGAUGCAAGCGUUAUCCGGAAUUAUUGGGCGUAAAGCGUUUGUAGGCGGGCGAGUGUGUUUAAUGUUAAAUCUUAAAGCUCAACUUUGAAAUUGCGUUAAAAACUGCUUGUCUUGAGUAUGGUAGGGGUAAAGGGAAUUCCCAGUGUAGCGGUGAAAUGCGUAGAUAUUGGGAAGAACACUAAACAGCGAAGGCACUUUACUAGGCUAAUACUGACGCUGAGAAACGAAAGGUAAGGUAGCGAAACGGAUUAGAUACCCGUGUAGUCUUACCCGUAAACUAUGGACACUAAACGGUAAAUUUUUAAUUUACUGUUAAAGCUAACGCGUUAAGUGUCCCGCCUGGGGAGUAUGCUUGCAAAAGUGAAACUCAAAGGAAUUGACGGGGGCCCGCACAAGCGGUGGAGCAUGUGGUUUAAUUCGACGGUACACGAAGAACCUUACCAGGAUUUGACAUGCUAGAUAGUUGCUUGAAAGAGUAACGUGCCGUAAGGAAUCUAGACACAGGUGGUGCAUGGCUGUCGUCAGUUCGUGUUGUGAAAUGUUGGGUUAAGUCCCGCAACGAACGCAACCCUUGUCUUUAGUUAUUUUCUAAAGAGACUGCCUGUAAUAAACAGGAGGAAGGUAAGGAUGAGGUCAAGUCAUCAUGCCCCUUAUGUCCUGGGCUACACACGUGCUACAAUGGGAAAGACAAUGAGCUGCAAAUCUGUAAAUUUAAGCAAAUCUCUUAAACUUUCUCGUAGUUCGGAUUGUGGGCUGCAACUCGCCCACAUGAAGUUGGAAUCGCUAGUA
rnacentral:rRNA from 1 species